CACUACUACAAAAAUUAGCUUUUAUAGCGCACAUUUAAUAGCGCUUAUUUAAAAGCGCUAUUAAAACCUGAAACGGAGCCCAUUUAACAGCGCUUAUAUGGAAAGCGCUAUUAAAACAUCAAACACAGUGACAAUAUAAUAGCGCUUUUCGAGAAAACGCCAUUAAAGGUGCGCACGCGGAUCACUAUAAUAGCACUUCUAAGGAAAGCGCUAUUAAAUCCGAUACUAUAUAAUAACGCUUUUGACACAAGCGCUAUAGUAGUCAAAAUUAAUAAAAGAAAUUUGUGGUUGCCGGGUGUCGAACCUUUGACCCCUUAGUUGUUGAUUAAUAAAUUAAAAAAUAUAUAUAGCAAAAAUAGAACAGUCCUUGCUAUCCCUUACUUUCCUAAUUCGUUUCUCACUAUCUGUCGUUCCUCUUUGAUCACUCACCGUCGAAUCCUUGGUUCUUCUACUUUCCAUCUCAUCAAACCUCCAUCUUUAUCCUUAUCAAGUUCCUUGGUUUCAACUUAGCACCUCACCUCCAUCUCCUUCAAUCCUAGUUCUUUCGUUUCGACCCAACACCUCCAUCAUCGAACCCUAAAUCUCGUGAUUUCUCUCCCGACCCAGCAAUUGAACCCUAAUCCUCGUGAUUAUCAAACCCUAAAUUCUUGCUUUCAACACCUCACGCCCUUCUUCUACUUAUUUUAGGUUAUUAUAAGAAAGGCAUACCUGAAAGGUUUUAGGGAAAUACUUGUUGCUUUACAGGAGCUCAAGGUAAUUUCAAUUUUGCUCUGUAUUAAUUUCAUGUUGCUUUUUUAGGUUUUUUUUCCUGGUUUUUUUGUAAGAUGCAUAGUUUUUGUUUUAG
rnacentral:lncRNA from 1 species